AUUUAUUUUUUAUUUUUUUAGUUUGUUUCAGUUUUUUUCUUUCGGAGAAAAUCAUGUGAUACUGCUUUCUCGAUUUGUUGCACGAGUCGUGACUAUCUCACUCCUUUUGUUGGUAAGGGGUGACCAUUAUGGAUUUGUGAUUUCAUUGUCUUGAGAGGGUAUGAUAUGCCUGAUCACUUUAUGGGAUAUUCUCCUUCUGAAAUUUGAAUGCAAGUUCA
rnacentral:lncRNA from 1 species